CCCCUAGAUGUUCUGGGCCGCACGCGCGCUACACUGAACAGUUCAACAAGUCUUAACCUUGGCCGAUAGGUCUGGGUAAUCUUUGAACGCUGUUCGUGAUUGGGAUAGACCUUUGCAAUUAUGGGUCUUCAACGAGGAAUUCCUAGUAAACGCAAGUCAUCAGCUUGCAUUGAUUACGUCCCUGCCCUUUGUACACACCGCCCGUCGCACCUACCGAUUGAAUGGUCCGGUGAAAUCUCGGGACGGCGGCCUUUGGACGGUUCGCCGUCUGUUGGCUGCGGGAAGUUCGUUAAACCUUAUCAUUUAGAGGAAGGAGAANUCGUAACA
rnacentral:rRNA from 1 species